rnacentral:rRNA from 1 species
UACGGAAGGCAGCAGUGGGGAAUAUUGCACAAUGGGCGCAAGCCUGAUGCAGCCAUGCCGCGUGUAUGAAAAAGGCCUUCGGGUUGUAAAGUACUUUCAGUCGUGAGGAAGGUGUUAAGGUUAAUAACCUUAGCAAUUGACGUUAGCGACAGAAGAAGCACCGGCUAACUCCGUGCCAGCAGCCGCGGUAAUACGGAGGGUGCGAGCGUUAAUCGGAAUUACUGGGCGUAAAGGGCACGCAGGCGGUUAAUUAAGUUGGAUGUGAAAUCCCCGGGCUUAACCUGGGAAUGGCAUUCAAGACUGGUUAGCUAGAGUCUUGUAGAGGGGGUAGAAUUCCAUGUGUAGCGGUGAAAUGCGUAGAGAUGUGGAGGAAUACCGGUGGCGAAGGCGGCCCCUGGACAAAGGCUGACGCUCAUGUGCGAAAGCGUGGGGAGCAAACAGGGAUUUAGAUACC